rnacentral:tRNA from 1 species
GGAGUAGCUCAGUUGGUAGAGCAGCUGACUUGUAAUCAGCAGGUCCUCGGUUCAAGUCCGAGCUU